AAGUCGUAACAAGGUUUCCGUAGGUGAACCUGCGGAAGGAUCAUUACCGAGUGAGGGCCCUCUGGGUCCAACCUCCCACCCAUGUUUAUCGUACCUUGUUGCUUCGGCGGGCCCGCCGCAAGGCCGCCGGGGGGCUUCUGUCCCCGGGUCCGCGCCCGCCGAAGACACCUUGAACGCUGUAUGAAGAUUGCAGUCUGAGCGAAAAGCUAAAUUAUUUAAAACUUUCAACAACGGAUCUCUUGGUUCUGGCAUCGAUGAAGAACGCAGCGAAAUGCGAUAAGUAAUGUGAAUUGCAGAAUUCAGUGAAUCAUCGAAUCUUUGAACGCACAUUGCGCCCGCUAGUACUCUAGCGGGCAUGCCUGUUCGAGCGUCAUUUCAACCCUCAAGCUCCGCUUGGUGUUGGGGCCCUACGGCUGCCGUAGGCCCUGAAAGGAAGUGGCGGGCUCGCUGCAACUCCGAGCGUAGUAGAAUCCUAUCUCGCUAGGGAGGCGCCGCGCGCUCCUGCCGUUAAAGACCCCAUCUUUAACCAAAGGUUGACCUCGGAUCAGGUAGGAAUACCCGCUGAACUUAA
rnacentral:rRNA from 1 species